GAUGAACGCUGGCGGCGUGCCUAAUACAUGCAUGUCGAGCGAACCACUUCGGUGGUGAGCGGCGAACGGGUGAGUAACACGUAGGUGAUCUGCCCAUCAGACGGGGACAACGAUUGGAAACGAUCGCUAAUACCGGAUAGGACGAAAGUUUAAAGGUGCUUCUGGCACCGCUGAUGGAUGAGCCUGCGGCGCAUUAGCUAGUUGGUAGGGUAAAGGCCUACCAAGGCGACGAUGCGUAGCCGACCUGAGAGGGUGAACGGCCACACUGGGACUGAGACACGGCCCAGACUCCUACGGGAGGCAGCAGUAGGGAAUCUUCGGCAAUGGGCGAAAGCCUGACCGAGCAACGCCGCGUGAAUGAUGAAGGCCUUCGGGUUGUAAAAUUCUGUUAUAAGGGAAGAACGACUUUAGUAGGAAAUGGCUAGGGUGUGACGGUACCUUAUGAGAAAGCCACGGCUAACUACGUGCCAGCAGCCGCGGUAA
rnacentral:rRNA from 1 species